rnacentral:rRNA from 1 species
AUUGAACGCUGGCGGCGUGCCUAACACAUGCAAGUCGAGCGGUAACAGGUGUAGCAAUACAUGCUGACGAGCGGCGAACGGGUGAGUAAUGCUUCGGAAUCUACCCAAUGGUGGGGAAUAACCAGCCGAAAGGUUGGCUAAUACCGCAUACGUCCCACGGGAGAAAGCAGGGGAUCGCAAGACCUUGCGCCAAUGGAUGAGCCGAAGUCGGAUUAGCUAGUUGGAGGGUAACGGCCUACCAAGGCGACGAUCCGUAGCUGGUCUGAGAGGACGACCAGCCACACUGGGACUGAGACACGGCCCAGACUCCUACGGGAGGCAGCAGUGGGGAAUAUUGGACAAUGGGGGAAACCCGUGAUCCAGCGACGCCGCGUGUGUGAAGAAGGCCUGC